UUUUAUGGUUCAAUUUCAUAACUCUCUGGCAGACAUGUGGUACCCCAAAUUACUGUUUAACUACAGAACCAGUUUUCACCAGCUAAGUUUUCAUAGGUUGUACAAAGAUAGCAUUCUUUUUAACCACAGAGUGUGUCUAUCACCCAAAGAUGACAUUGUCUUUAACCACAGAGCGUGUCUGUUUAAGUCAUCAUAUUUGAAACCCUUUGUUUCAUUUCCUUAGUAACUUAGCCCCAGCCCCACUAUUGCAAAGUCUUAAUAUUGCAAAGCCCCAUCCCUGAUAUUGUGAAAACAACACUGUUUCUCUCACAGAGUUUCCGCAUGUGAACUCUUCUUUCCCUGUUUGUCCCCUGCCCUGAGAAAAAAUCUGGAAAACCUGCAAAUCUGUUCCCCUGCCUGACAAUGUAUUUUUUCUGUUACAGGAUCCCAAAGGAAAUAGAGAAAAUGCAAGAGAGGAAGAACUAUCCAAAAGUUCCAGUGACAGCACAGUUAUCGAAACAGAGGAAGGGAAGAAUAUCAAAGCACCCAAGAAGCCGAAGCUUGUCCAUGAAAUCCCUGUGGAACUGGGUGUAAACGAUGUGCCCUACCUGCUGGAGGACGAAGUGAAGAGCUUGAUGAAAAAGGAUGUUUGAAAUGGCUCUGCUGGGUUAAAGCUCCAUACUCCAAGACUUGAUGAUCCGAGAUCUAGAGAAACAAGAAAGAUAGAACUUGGCCAACAGCUUGGAGUCAUUCAUCUUUGGGACCCAGAGAGAAGACAUUUCCAGAAAGCUUAGCAAGGCUUCCCGUUGGAUGGAGGAGGAGGGCUCUGCAGCUGGAACUAAGGUACUGCUGUGGGUGUUCAGGAUACCAGGCACUGUCCCUGACAUGGAAGUGACCACACAGGCUGACUGAGGAUGGAACCACCACAAUCCUUUGUAAUCUGGUUUUUGCAAGUCUCUUGCUUCCCCGGUGCAUUUUGCACAGAAUAGAACGCAAAGUUCUUGCAGCCAUGGAUGAGCAGUUUCAGCAGCAACUGCUGAAGUAACUC